ACCGCCAAGGACAUUAAGAAUGUAGGCGGAACUAUAUGUCUGCAAAGGUUUCCGGGGGGACCCAUUAUAUGCACGGAUAUAUACAAGUAGUAGAAAGUUCGGUUGUCACAGCUUUCUGAAGUUAUGGCCAAGUGUUAAAAGGUGUUUAAUCUGUUCAAGAAACACUCCAAAGGAAGCUAUUCCCUCCCUGUGUUAUUUAAUGCAGCCAAUGAGUUCUCACGUUUAGGAAUAAAUCCUAAUCAGUGAUGUUAAGAACAGUUGUGCUGUCAUCAUUAUAUCAGAGGGAGGCACAGAUGCCCUUCUGGCAGCUGUUACUUUGCCCAAGUUCAAGCUGCACUGGCUUAGAAGAUGAUGAGAGGAGAGUGUUGUGACAAGUCUUCUCAUGAGCCCAUGGUGAGGCCUGCAGAACUCCUUUCAUCUCGAGUCAGGAUGACUUUUUUUAUAUGAAGAGGAAGCUAUUUUUUUACUGUGAAGACAAUGAAGUAAUGGAGUACUUGAAAUCAAGUGGAGCAGAGAUGGAUGUUCUUAAGCCACUAAUCCAGAGUAAAGAAAAUCUUAUUGAAAUACAACACCAUAGUGCACAUGUGGAAAGACUUUUCAGUCUAUGCAGUCUUGUGCUGACCCCAAUAAGAAAUAGUCCUCCAAACGAUUUGACAAGCUUUUGUUACUGAGAUAUAACCACUAUUUUAGAAAUGAGUGAACAAAAACGUAUUCCUCAGCAAUGGCUUCUGAGUAAAGAUUUAGGCAGUUCCAUGUAAAGAGAUUUAAAAAAGGCCCCUUGAAGAUUUUGUAACUUUAAUUUAUGACCAUUAUUUUGUUUUGUUUGUUAAUUCAAUUUUUAUUCUUGCCUGUCCACAUACUUAAAAUGUGGAUUUUGUUUUGUUGGACCACUGAAGAAGCUUUUAUUGCACUAUAUUUUUGUAUUGCUUAAAUACAUACGGACUUGUUCAGAGAGAAUAGUAGUGAAAUAUAUUUUGUACAUGUUUAAUGUUAAUUCUAUUACUGCUACAUUUUGUUCCUUAUUAAACUAUGAAAAGGACUAUUGUCUAUCAGGUUUUUACUUUCCAGAUAUGUUUGUAGAUGAUUGAUUGAUUCCAGUAUAUUUUGUAUGGGUUUUAGAAUGUAACUUAAAAGUAAAUUAAUGCGGUUUCAGAUUACAUUUUCCAGAAGGUAAUGAGUAAAGUAAUCCCACUGCAAUUUUAGUUAAGUAAUGAGUAAUUGGCAAUGGUUUACUUUUUUAGUAGCUACCUCAAUACUGCUAGUAUUUAACUUCCACCCCACCGUAUGAAAAAUCAUGCUUAAAAGCCUUUUACUCUAAUUCAACAAUGUUGGAUGAAUUGGCAUUAGGAGGAGGGUUUUUACAAUUGAUGAUUUUGUUUAAUGUUAUCUGUUGCUAACUUUAUUCAGUAUCCUAACCUAAUCUAUUACCUGUUAACAUUACCUGGAUCUACUAAUUUAGUGGGGAAUAAUUCACUAACAUGUGAAUGUGCAUGUUAAUUGUCAUGUAGCUCUCUGGCUCAGACUCCAUUUCCCCAAAACCUGUCAGAGAUCACAUGACUCAUCCUCCUAUCACCAUUUACAAUCACCAGAGUACUGAUAUAUUGCACCCGUUUUCUGUGUCAUAUGACCUGUUUAGUUUAAAAAAGUGCACAGGCCUUAGCUUAGCCUAGUUGCGAGGUAUUGCUUUUCUUUAUAGAGCUACUAAGUGUUUCUUGAGUGUUAUUGUUAUUGCUCUUUUGGUGUUCGUUAUGUUUGUGUUCUUUUGUCUUUUUGCCUAUUUGGAUUUGAUCCACACAUGGUCACCAACUAUGAUUUUGGUUAAGCCCUUUUCAAUUAAACCCUCAUUUCUUGUU